GUUGCCUUAUCCUCGAAAACAGAAACAACAGUUUAGCUUUUAUUUCUAAAUGUUUAAUGCAUCACCACAGCCACCAUCAUCUGGACCACAGAUGGCAGACGUACUCUCGGGAACACUGUUUCGAAGUAAACAGCAUUUCCUUGAACAGCUUUGUAACAAGGAUACACAGUAUUUCUAUUCCUCUCAGCUCUUCUCUGCAUUUUGCCCAAGUUUACAAGCAUAUGUGGGCUGAGAAUGAUCUCACUAAAGAACAAGUGUAUUCUGUCCAAUUGAGUUAAGGAGAAAACCUAAACUGAAGACUAAAGGAAAAAUCCUUUUAGAGGGGUUCUUUUGGUGGGGCUGGGUUUUUUUGUUUGUUGAAUUUACGUAUAGCUUGCUCAGUCUUUCUGUGUCAUUUCCAUUCCUGUUUUCUUUGCUCAUAAAUACCUGACCAGACAUAAUUCACUUAAUUAACAGCUCUCUAAGUAGAUUGAGUUUGCUGCCUUAGGGGAUAGACACCGAAGGCCAGAAACUCCUGAGUUGGCUGGAAAGGCUCCAGAAGUGUGUCAUCACACACUUGGGCUGAAGAAAUAGAACAGACCGAUAUGCAAAUGACAGAAGCAGAGACUGAGGCCACUGCGGGAAGGAGAGGAGGUAGACAGGAGGUCGAUCUGAUACUUGACCAAAAAAGUAACCAGAGGGAAAAUUAAUAUACUUUUAAAGAUAGAUAGCACCACCUAAAUUAUCACCUGCAGUGAACGGUCAGAUGUUGCUGUAUGUUACCUUUUCUCACGUCGGCACCCCAAAGCAUCCCGAUUAGACAGCUCAAGCUCGGCUUCUGACUCAGGAAAUCUUACAAACCUGACUUCAUUUAUUUAAGCAUCUGCUCUGGGAAAAGCACAAUGCUAGGCAGUGAAAGUAACAAGCUACAAAACUUUGAGUAGAAAAAGGAAACAGAUGUGUAGAAAAACAAAUUAUACUUUGCAAUGUUGCAAAGAACUAAGUGUGGGGAUGAUAAUAGUACACCUCCCUCACAGUGUUGAAGCGAAGAUCACACAACCCUGAAAAAGUGCUAUACGUGUCCGGGUAUAUGAAUGGCUUCCAGGAAUACCACCAUUGUCCGCCAUGCUGACUCAGCCAGUGGUAACACGAAGUGCAGGGUUUGGAAUUUAUGGACCGAAGCUAGUCUGCAGAAAUCUCUUUCAAUUAUCAGGCACACAAAGCAAAAUCGCCCGGCAUGAUCAAUGACUCUUCAAAUAUAAAGCGGUAUCGUUUAUCAUCUCAACAGAGACCGCACGUCACUGUAGUGAAUCUGUUGGUUCUUUGCGGGUUAUGCUGUGAGGUUAAAAUGCCCAAGACUU